rnacentral:rRNA from 1 species
AUUUGAAAUCUGGCACUUUCAGUGUCCGAGUUGUAAUUUGAAGAAGGUAUCUUUGGGUCUGGCUCUUGUCUAUGUUUCUUGGAACAGAACGUCACAGAGGGUGAGAAUCCCGUGCGAUGAGAUGACCCAGACCUAUGUAAAGUUCCUUCGAAGAGUCGAGUUGUUUGGGAAUGCAGCUCUAAGUGGGUGGUAAAUUCCAUCUAAAGCUAAAUAUUGGCGAGAGACCGAUAGCGAACAAGUACAGUGAUGGAAAGAUGAAAAGAACUUUGAAAAGAGAGUGAAAAAGUACGUGAAAUUGUUGAAAGGGAAGGGCUUGAGAUCAGACUUGGUAUUUUGUAUGUUACUCUUUCGGGGGUGGCCUCUACAGUUUACCGGGCCAGCAUCAGUUUGGGCGGUAGGAGAAUUGCAAAGAAAUGUGGCACUGCUUCGGUAGUGUGUUAUAGUCUUUGUCGAUACUGCCAGCCUAGACUGAGGACUGCGGCUUCGGCCUAGGAUGUUGGCAUAAUGAUCUUAAGUCGCCCGUCU